GUGGGGAAUUUUGGACAAUGGGCGCAAGCCUGAUCCAGCAAUGCCGCGUGCAGGAAGAAGGCCUUCGGGUUGUAAACUGCUUUUGUACGGAACGAAACGGUCCUGGUUAAUACCUGGGGCUAAUGACGGUACCGUAAGAAUAAGCACCGGCUAACUACGUGCCAGCAGCCGCGGUAAUACGUAGGGUGCAAGCGUUAAUCGGAAUUACUGGGCGUAAAGCGUGCGCAGGCGGUUUUGUAAGACAGACGUGAAAUCCCCGGGCUCAACCUGGGAAUGGCGUUUGUGACUGCAAAGCUGGAGUGCGGCAGAGGGGGAUGGAAUUCCGCGUGUAGCAGUGAAAUGCGUAGAUAUGCGGAGGAACACCGAUGGCGAAGGCAAUCCCCUGGGCCUGCACUGACGCUCAUGCACGAAAGCGUGGGGAGCAAACAGGAUUAGAUACCCCUGUAGUCC
rnacentral:rRNA from 1 species